rnacentral:rRNA from 1 species
GACGAACGCUGGCGGCGUGCUUAACACAUGCAAGUCGAACGGAAAGGCCCUGCUUUUGUGGGGUGCUCGAUUGGCGAACGGGUGAGUAACACGUGAGUAACCUGCCCUUGACUUUGGGAUAACUUCAGGAAACUGGGGCUAAUACCGGAUAGGAGCUCCUGCUGCAUGGUGUGGGUUGGAAAGUUUCGGCGGUUGGGGAUGGACUCGCGGCUUAUCAGCUUGUUGGUGGGGUAGUGGCUUACCAAGGCUUUGACGGGUAGCCGGCCUGAGAGGGUGACCGGCCACAUUGGGACUGAGAUACGGCCCAGACUCCUACGGGAGGCAGCAGUGGGGAAUAUUGCACAAUGGGCGGAAGCCUGAUGCAGCAACGCCGCGUGCGGGAUGACGGCCUUCGGGUUGUAAACCGCUUUCGCCUGUGACGAAGCGUGAGUGACGGUAAUGGGUAAAGAAGCACCGGCUAACUACGUG